rnacentral:rRNA from 1 species
CCGUAGGGGUAACCUGCGGAGGGAUCAUUACCGAGUUAUCCAACUCCCAMCCCCUGUGAAUUAUACCUUUAAUUGUUGCUUCGGCGGGACUUCGCGCCCGCCGGGGACCCAAACCUUCUGAAUUUUUUAAUAAGUAUCUUCUGAGUGGUUAAAAAAAAAAUGAAUCAAAACUUUCAACAACGGAUCUCUUGGUUCUGGCAUCGAUGAAGAACGCAGCGAAAUGCGAUAAGUAAUGUGAAUUGCAGAAUUCAGUGAAUCAUCGAAUCUUUGAACGCACAUUGCGCCCGUCAGUAUUCUGGCGGGCAUGCCUGUUCGAGCGUCAUUACGCCCCUCAAGUCCCCUGUGGACUUGGUGUUGGGGAUCGGCGAGGCUGGUUUUCCAGCACAGCCGUCCCUUAAAUUAAUUGGCGGUCUCGCCGUGGCCCUCCUCUGCGCAGUAGUAAAGCACUCGCAACAGGAGCCCGGCGCGGUCCACUGCCGUAAAACCCCCCAACUUUUUAUAGUUGACCUCGAAUCAGGWWGKACKACCCGCUGAACUUAAGCAUAUCAAUAAGCCGGAGGGAAA